rnacentral:rRNA from 1 species
AGUGAACGCUGGCGGUAGGCCUAACACAUGCAAGUCGAACGGCAGCACAGUAAGAGCUUGCUCUUACGGGUGGCGAGUGGCGGACGGGUGAGGAAUACAUCGGAAUCUACUUUUUCGUGGGGGAUAACGUAGGGAAACUUACGCUAAUACCGCAUACGACCUACGGGUGAAAGCAGGGGAUCUUCGGACCUUGCGCGAUUGAAUGAGCCGAUGUCGGAUUAGCUAGUUGGCGGGGUAAAGGCCCACCAAGGCGACGAUCCGUAGCUGGUCUGAGAGGAUGAUCCGCCACACUUGAACUGAGACACGGUCCAGACUCCUACGGGAGGCAGCAGUGGGGAAUAUUGGACAAUGGGCGCAAGCCUGAUCCAGCCAUACCGCGUGGGUGAAGAAGGCCUUCGGGUUGUAAAGCCCUUUUGUUGGGAAAGAAAAGCAGCAGGUUAAUACCCCGCUGUUCUGACGGUACCCAAAGAAUAAGCACCGGCUAACUUCGUG